AGAACUCAUGGGAGUCAACUUACAUAAACGGAUUGGUUACAAGAUAGACCAUCAAACAGAGAAAUGCCAUCUGAAGAAGGAACAUUAAAUGGUGAGUCUGUGUGGUAGAUUUAAUGUGAAAAAAAUGAGAAUCUUACAUGAUCUGUUAUAGCAAACACCACAUUAUUCUAGGUCUCACUUCUCCAUUUAAGCCAGCUAUGGAUACAAAUUACUAUUAUUCAGGUCAGUAAUAUUAAAAACAAAAUUUAAUAGUAUUUUGAACCUUUACAGAUUUCAUCAUUUCUCUCUCAUUUUAUGCAGCUGUGGAAAGAAAUAACUUGAUGAGGUUAUCACAGAGCAUUCCAUUUACACCUGUGCCUCCAAGAGGGGAGCCUGUCACAGUGUAUCGUUUGGAAGAGAGUUCACCCAACAUACUAAAUAACAGCAUGUCUUCUUGGUCACAACUAGGCCUCUGUGCCAAAAUAGAGUUUUUAAGCAAAGAGGAGAUGGGCGGAGGUUUACGAAGAGCUGUCAAAGUACAGUGUACCUGGUCAGAACAUGAUA
rnacentral:sRNA from 1 species